rnacentral:piRNA from 1 species
UCACUUCUGAUGAGACAGGUGCCCCCUCAUU